rnacentral:lncRNA from 1 species
AGAACAUCAACAUUCAUUUGAUUCUCUUCAGUGAUCACAGGCAGGAGAGUCUCCCAGAAGCUGAAAUCCUCAGAAAGAACUGCAGCUGGUACUUAGAGUCUUCCAGCCCACAGUGGAAUCUCCCCACCACCUGUCUCCCUUGUUUCUCCCACUCUGUGCACCGUCCCUCUACUUGGAGUCUCCACCGUGAGUAUGCUGCUUAAAUAGAUAGAACUAGUAUCUAUGUGUGGGCAUUGCUGGUAGAAUUUCUCCUAUAACCUAAGAA